rnacentral:rRNA from 1 species
AUUGAACGCUGGCGGCAGGCCUAACACAUGCAAGUCGAACGAGUGGCGGACGGGUGAGUAAUGUCUGGGAAACUGACUGAUGGAGGGGGAUAACUCCUGGAAACGGUAGCUAAUACCGCAUACCAUCGGAUGUGCCCAGAUGGGAUUAUCUAGUAGGUGGGGUAAAGGCUCACCUAGGCGACGAUCCCUAGCUGGUCUGAGAGGAUGACCAGCCACACGUGAACUGUGACAAGGUCCAGACUCCUACGUGAGGCAGCAGUGGGGAAUAUUGCACAAUUGGCGCAAGCCUGAUGCAGCCAUGCCGCGUGUAUGAAGAAGGCCUUCGGGUUGUAAAGUACUUUCAGCGGGGAGGCGUUACCCGCAGAAGAAGCACCGGCUAACUCCGUGCCAGCAGCCGCGGUAAUUC